rnacentral:rRNA from 1 species
GGUGCAGACGGCUCUUUAAGUCGGGUGUGAAAUCUCCUGACUCAAUCAGGAGGGGACGUUCGAUACUGAGGAGCUUGAGGGCAGCAGAGGAAGACGGAAUUCCCGGUGUAGCGGUGAUAUGCGUAGAUAUCGGGAGGAACACCAGUGGCGAAGGCGGUCUUCUAGGCUGUUCCUGACGUUGAGACCCUAAAGCGUGGGGAGCGAAACGGAUUAGAUACCCGUGUAGUCCACGCUAUAAACGUUGGAUACUAGGUAUGGGGAGUAUCGACCCUCUCCGUGCCGAAGCUAACGCUUUAAGUAUCCCGCCUGGGGACUACGGCCGCAAGGUUAAA